GACGAACGCUGGCGGCGUGCCUAAUACAUGCAAGUCGAACGAGAGCAACCGGUGCUUGCACUGGUCAAUCUAGUGGCGAACGGGUGAGUAACACGUGGGUAACCUGCCCAUCAGAGGGGGAUAACAUCCGGAAACGGAUGCUAAAACCGCAUAGGUCUUCGAACCGCAUGGUUUGAAGAGGAAAAGAGGCGCAAGCUUCUGCUGAUGGAUGGACCCGCGGUGCAUUAGCUAGUUGGGGAGGUAACGGCUCACCAAGGCCGUGAUGCAUAGCCGACCUGAGAGGGUGAUCGGCGACAUUGGGACUGAGACACGGCCCAAACUCCUACGGGAGGCAGCAGUAGGGAAUCUUCCGCAAUGGACGCAAGUCUGACGGAGCAACGCCGCGUGAGUGAAGAAGGUUUUCGGAUCGUAAAACUCUGUUGUUAGAGAAGAACAAGUGCUAGAGUAACUGUUAGCGCCUUGACGGUAUCUAACCAGAAAGCCACGGCUAACUACGUG
rnacentral:rRNA from 1 species